UCUAUUAUAUCUUUAAUAGAUAUAAAACUAUAUAUUUUUGCUCUCAAAAUUUAUAUAAAUAUUAAUACAAUAUUUAUAUUCAUAUAAAUAUAAUAUUAAUAUUUUAAUAUAAUAUUUAUUAAUAUAAAUAUUAAUAUAUAGAUACAUACAUGUGUAUCUUAUAUAUCAGAAAGGGUGCAUAAGCUAUUUAUAUAUUUUAUGAUCUCAUACAAAUAAAAGAAGAUUAUAUUUAUUAUAGAGAAUCAAAGAUAAGUUUCGAGCUCUACUUUCAACAGCUCCC
rnacentral:lncRNA from 1 species